rnacentral:lncRNA from 1 species
GCUCUCCACCACCCAGGGGGCCUAGAGGGAGACGAUUGGAUUCUUCUGUUCUCAUCCAGUAUCACUGAGGACCUUGAAGUCUUGGAUUCGGCCAUAGGCCCGAAUGACACUGGUGCCCGUUACUGUCUCCGAAAAGUGGGAGAAGAUGGGUGAGCGGCUGAUGGAUUCCAGCCGCUUGAGCUGCCGUGAUGUGGCCACAUAGAAGCGCUGGCCAGGGAUAGGAAGAGAACUCCAGUCAGGAAUGUCAUCCAGCCCAACUCAGCCCUGCAUGUCCUCCAGUCUCCUGUGCUUCCUCCUCCUGGCCCUGCUCUUCCCACAAGCCUCGCUCGAGCUUCCUACACUUUCUUGGAGAACAGAUUCCAGACAGACAUUAUUCACUUCCCCUCUGAUCAACUUUGCCCAGUCAGCCAGGCCACCUCUUCCACGCAGCUCUCUCUGAUUCCCUAUGCCCUCCUGUCUCCUCAUCUUUUACAGCCCGUGAUACUAUCUUGUUUAACCUCCAAGGCAGUGAGAUGUCUUGUUCUACUUAAAGAUCCUAGAUCAUAUGAUCAUAUUCAAAUGA